rnacentral:rRNA from 1 species
UACGUGAGGGGGCAAGCGUUGUCCGGAUUCAUUGGGCGUAAAGAGCUCGUAGGCGGUUCGGCAAGUCGGGUGUGAAAACUCCAGGCUCAACCUGGAGACGCCACCCGAUACUGCUGUGACUUGAGUCCGGUAGGGGACCACGGAAUUCCUGGUGUAGCGGUGAAAUGACGCAGAUAUCAGGAGGAACACCGGUGGCGAAGGCGGGUCUCUGGGCAGUAACUGACGCUGAGGAGCGAAAGCGUGGGGAGCGAACAGG